AAUGGGCGCAAGCCUGAUCUAGCCAUGCCGCGUGAGUGAUGAAGGCCUUAGGGUCGUAAAGCUCUUUCGCCAGGGAUGAUAAUGACAGUACCUGGUAAAGAAACCCCGGCUAACUCCGUGCCAGCAGCCGCGGUAAUACGGAGGGGGUUAGCGUUGUUCGGAAUUACUGGGCGUAAAGCGCACGUAGGCGGACUAUUAAGUCGGGGGUGAAAUCCCGGGGCUCAACCCCGGAACUGCCUCCGAUACUGGUAGUCUUGAGUUCGAGAGAGGUGAGUGGAAUUCCGAGUGUAGAGGUGAAAUUCGUAGAUAUUCGGAGGAACACCAGUGGCGAAGGCGGCUCACUGGCUCGAUACUGACGCUGAGGUGCGAAAGUGUGGGGAGCAAACAGGAUU
rnacentral:rRNA from 1 species